GGCUCAGAACGAACGCCGGNGGCGUGGAUAAGACAUGCAAGUCGAGCGCUGAUUACGGGGUAGCAAUAUUCCGUAGUUGGAGCGGCGCAAGGGUGCGUAACACGUGGGCAAUCUACCGCGAAGUCUGGGAUAACUUGCUGAAAGGCGAGCUAAUACCGGAUGUGACAACUGGGGGGCAUCCUCUGGUUGUUGAAGUUGGGGACCGUAAGGCCUGACGCUUCACGAUGAGCCCGCGGCCUAUCAGCUAGUUGGUGAGGUAACGGCUCACCAAGGCUAAGACGGGUAGCUGGUCUGAGAGGACGACCAGCCACACUGGAACUGAGACACGGUCCAGACACCUACGGGUGGCAGCAGUCGAGAAUUUUUCACAAUGGGCGCAAGCCUGAUGGAGCGACGCCGCGUGGGGGAUGAAUGGCUUCGGCCCGUAAACCCCUGUCAUUUGCGAUCAAACGUUAUUAUUUAAAAGAUGAUGACCUGAUAGUAGCGAAAGAGGAAGGGACGGCUAACUCUGUGCCAGCAGCCGCGGUAAUACAGAGGUCCCAAGCGUUGUUCGGAUUCACUGGGCGUAAAGGGUGCGUAGGUGGUGGGGUAAGUCGGAUGUGAAAGCUCGGAGCUCAACUCCGAAAUGGCAUUGGAAACUACCCUGCUUGAGGGUCGGAGGGGGGACUGGAAUACUUGGUGUAGCAGUGAAAUGCGUAGAUAUCAAGUGGAACACCAGUGGCGAAGGCGAGUCCCUGGACGACUCCUGACACUGAGGCACGAAAGCUAGGGGAGCAAACAGGAUUAGAUACCCUGGUAGUCCUAGCCGUAAACGGUGCAUGUUUGCUGUAAAAGGAAUCGACCCCUUUUGUGGCGUAGCCAACGCGUUAAACAUGCCGCCUGGGAAGUACGGUCGCAAGA
rnacentral:rRNA from 1 species